rnacentral:tRNA from 1 species
AAGGCUUUAAGUUAAAUAAACUAAUAGCCUUCAAAGCUGUAAAUAAAGAAUUCAUCCUUUAAGCCUUA